GCCGCGGUAGCUCAGUCGGUAGAGCAGAGGACUGAAAAUCCUCGUGUCGGGGGUUCGAUUCCCUCCUGCGGCACCA
rnacentral:tRNA from 1 species